UCUUGCGUUUGGCGGCGGCGGACGUUUGUCGGGGGUAAUUCAAGACACUAUUUAUUUAUGUUGGGUUCGUGUCCUUGAUUGGUUUGGGACCUGGAUGUGUUUUGCGGUUUUCACUUCGGCGAAAAUUCGCCUCACACACACUCAUGUGUUUUGGCAUCUGUCAAAAUCGGCCAUUGUCAAAAUUAUUGCUGCUUGAGAAAAACCGCGUGCACGUCGUGCUCGUUCCGCGUCCGCAUCCGCCCGGAAAUUAUCUUUUUUUUUGUGUUGCUUGUUCCGAGUGCCGUUACCGUUACCGUGUCCGUGUCCGUGUUCCGUGUUCGGAGUGUCCGUUUUUGUGUUUCGAGUAAAGUGGUGAAGUGUCUAGGAGUGAACUCUCGCGAUUAUUUUGGUGGUCUCGUGCGGGGAAAAAGAACAUUUCAUUUCCCUAUGUAGGUCCCUAGAUCCGGCCCGUGAAGCCAUUUCCAGGGUUGUUACGGACGGCGCGGAUCGCGCGGAUGGCGCGUUUCGCGCGGAUUUGGAUUUGUCCAUCGGCGACGGACGACCACCUCGGGCUGCUGUUGAACCUGCCGGGAGAGGCGAGGAGGAGGACGGACAACACAGCCGGACGUUGGACGAGUUCAAGAGCAGCUGGAAAGUCCAUCGGAGACGGAUGACCACCUCGGGCUGCUGUUGAACAUGCCGGAAGAGGUGAGGAGGAGGACGGUCUGAACAUCCGGGACGUUGGCCGAGUUCAAGAAAAGCUGGAGAGUCCAUCGGAGACGGAUGACCACCUCGGGCUGCUGCUGAACCUGCCGGGAGAGGCGAGGAGGAGGAGGACGGUCAACACAGCCGGAACCGUGGCCAAGUUCAAGAACCUAUUCAAAAUCCGAUUCCAAGAACAUCUCCUUGGCCCCCUCGAAAAACUGAACCUGCUGGAAGAGGUGAGGAGGAGGACGGUCCGAACUUCCGGGACGUUGGCCGAGUUCAAGAAAAGCUGGAGAGUCCAUCGGCGACGGACGACCACCUCGGGCUGCUGCUGAACCUGCCGGAAGAUGCGAAGAGGAGGACGGUCAACACAGCCGGGACGUUGGCCGAGUUCAAGAGCAGCUGGAAAGUCCAUCGGAGACGGAUGACCACCUCGGGCUGCUGCUGAACCUGCCGGGAGAGGCGAGGAGGAGGAGGACGGUCAACACAGCCGGAACCGUGGCCAAGUUCAAGGACCUAUUCAAAAUCCGAUUCCAAGAACAUCUCCUUGGCCCCCUCGAAAAACUGAACCUGCUGGAAGAGGUGAGGAGGAGGACGGUCCGAACUUCCGGGACGUUGGCCGAGUUCAAGAAAAGCUGGAGAGUCCAUCGGCGACGGACGACCACCUCGGGCUGCUGCUGAACCUGCCGGAAGAUGCGAAGAGGAGGACGGUCAACACAGCCGGGACGUUGGCCGAGUUCAAGAAAAGCUGGAGAGUCCAUCGGAGACGGAUGACCACCUCGGGCUGCUGCUGAACCUGCCGGGAGAGGCGAGGAGGAGGAGGACGGUCAACACAGCCGGAACCGUGGCCAAGUUCAAGGACCUAUUCUAAAUCCGAUUCCAAGAACAUCUCCUUGGCCCCCUCGAAAAACUGAACCUGCUGGAAGAGGUGAGGAGGAGGACGGUCCGAACAUCCGGGACGUUGGACGACCACCUCGGGCUGCUGUUGAACCUGCCGGAAGAGGCGAAGAGGAGGACGGUCGACACAUCCGGGACGUUGGACGAGUUCAAGAGCAGCUGGAGAGUCGAUCGGAGACGGACGAGCACCUGGGGCUGCUGCUGAACCUGCCGAAAGAGGCGAGGAGAAGGACGGUUUGCACAGCCGGGAUUGACAGACUUGAGACUUUUCCGGAGACGGUUGACCACUUUCGGUUGUGGUUACUGAAUCCGCCGGAAAAAGCAAAUUCAAAGACGGUGCGCUGCUUAUUCAUUAACCCUAUUUUUUACGUGAUAUUUUUACAUUAAUAAACUUUAAUUGUUACGCUGAGUGUA